CAGCUAUCUUCUAAAUUCAUUAGAUUAUGUCUAAUCCUGCACGUGUCGAGAAAACUCAUUAUAGAGGUUAAAAUGUUUUCAAUGGGAAUUUUAAAAGAAAAAAUAGAAAUUUUAAUUCGUAAGUAAGCAAAGCAAUGUAGUUUUUAACUGAAUUGAUAGAAUUAAACUAAAUUUUUAAGUCUAUCUCAUAAUUAAACAUUAUCAAAGGCCUUGAAAUGGAAUCCCUUCCUUGUGCAUUAGCUUUGCUAGCCCUAUGGCUGUGGCAUAAUCCCCUUCUCUCUGCAAAAUUCAAAAGCUUCUGCAUAUAAAUCUCCCACAUCAUAUUUCGUAGACUCAAAUUUGAAUGUGAAUCCUAAGUCCAAUAGCUUCUUUGAUGAGCAAGAAAUAGCUUUCAGAGAUUCAUCAAUACCCUCAAAUUUGGUAGGAACAUUAUACUCAGGAUACUUUUGGCUAAGUGAUUUUGCCAAAUCCACUAUUGUAAAACUAUGAUUGGAGCAUAUAUAUCUCCCAUUUGCUUCUGGAUGUUCAAACAGGAAUAUAUGAGCGCUGCACGCAUCUUCCAAAUGCACUGCUUGUCCUGUAGCUAUCAUCUUGUAAAGUGCUUCAUUUCCUACGAUAUUGCCAAUUAUACUUGAAAUUAAUUAGCAUUGGACUUAGCAAUUAAUGAUAACAUAAUUAAGACUAAAUGAACAAUGAUUAUACAUACUUGUGAUCAAAGCCAAUCCUAAGUCGAUACUGAAAGGCUUUGAAGGAGUAAGAAAAGGACCCACCACCAGAGAUAGAUGAACAGUGACGAGAUUUAUGCCAUUUUCCUUGGCAAAUUCCCAUGCUGCUUUCUCAGCUUUUGUUUUUGCAACAAAAUAUGACUACAAAAACAACAAGAAUGUACUCUAAUAGUCGAUAAUAAUGAAAUUCACAUGAAAUUUAUGAUCUGAUUAUCAAAAUUAAAUCGUUGUAUGCACGAUAAUUUUUUAUUUAUAUGCUAAUUGAUUAAUUAAAUGAAGAAGGAAAAUGAUAACCCAUCCAGGCAUCUUCUCUGCAUAGCAAAAAUCAACAUCAGUCCAAAAGCUCUCAUCAUACUCCGGCAGCGGAGGUGGUGGUUGGAUGGCAACGGUUCCUGCGGUUGAGGUGUAGAUGAACCUUCUGAUGGUUUUUGCCUUCAAGCAGGAUCUCAUGAUGUUCAAUACCCCAUUUACUGUAGGCUUUAUAAUGUCAGCC
rnacentral:misc_RNA from 1 species